rnacentral:tRNA from 1 species
AGAAGUUUAGGUUAAACCAGACCAAGAGCCUUCAAAGCCCUAAGUAAGUGUAGUCCACUUAACUUCUGCC